CGAAGGGUGAAGCCUGCCAUGGGGUGGGGGAUAGAUGGCACAAGGAAGGAGCAACCUUUGCUCGGUCCACUGAAUCCUGUGAGCCCCAUCCUCCAUUCUCCAGUCUCCUAGGAUACCGGAAUGUUCACAUUAAGACCUUUCUGACCAUCUGACCGGAGAGCUGGGGACUAUGUGUGCACUAAAGAUGCCCAGAAAAACUGCAGUUCUGACUGGCCCAUCCCCAGCACACAGCCAGUAACCCAGCCAGAGCCACCUCCCAGUCCAGUCCAGUCAUAUGCUAUCGAGCCUACAACCUUCUACACCUCUUGCCAAAUACCAGCUCUAGUAAAAUCCACACUACACCAGCCACCUCCUCCAGGAGGACUGCCUUCUUCCACAUUUCCCCCAACUCUCAGGAAACUUCUCUCCUCGAGUAGGCUGAGGUUUCCAGGAAUAGGAAGGUAGGGAAACUGAGGUUGGAGAAGGAAAGACUCUGGUGCUGAAGGAGCUAGAUGGAAAUGAUCUCCUGAAGAGUCUCCGUGGAGUGUGCUUUCCAGCAGACAGGGGCUGGCCCCAUGAUGGAUGGUUUCCCACUUGUCUCCGUCAUCCUCUUUUUCCCCCUUCACCCCACAAUAAACCUCUCUCACACAGAACUACAUUGGCC
rnacentral:lncRNA from 14 species